CGGCGCACGGGUGAGUAACACGUAUCCACUGCCGAUACUCGGGGAUAGCCUUUCGAAAGAAAGAUUAAUACCCGAUGGUAUAAUCAGACCGCAUGGUCUUGUUAUUAAAGAAUUUCGGUUAUCGAUGGGGAUGCGUUCCAUUAGGCAGUUGGUGAGGUAACGGCUCACCAAACCUUCGAUGGAUAGGGGUUCUGAGAGGAAGGUCCCCCACAUUGGAACUGAGACACGGUCCAAACUCCUACGGGAGGCAGCAGUGAGGAAUAUUGGUCAAUGGGCUCAGGCCUGAACCAGCCAAGUAGCGUGAAGGAUGACUGCCCUAUGGGUUGUAAACUUCUUUUAUAUGGGAAUAAAGUUUUCCACGUGUGGAAUUUUGCAUGUACCAUAUGAAUAAGGAUCGGCUAACUCCGUGCCAGCAGCCGCGGUAAUACGGAGGAUCCGAGCGUUAUCCGGAUUUAUUGGGUUUAAAGGGAGCGUAGGUGGACAGUUAAGUCAGUUGUGAAAGUUUGCGGCUCAACCGUAAAAUUGCAGUUGAUACUGGCUGUCUUGAGUACAGUAGAGGUGGGCGGAAUUCGUGGUGUAGCGGUGAAAUGCUUAGAUAUCACGAAGAACUCCGAUUGCGAAGGCAGC
rnacentral:rRNA from 1 species